rnacentral:rRNA from 1 species
UACGAAGGGGGCUAGCGUUGCUCGGAAUCACUGGGCGUAAAGCGCACGUAGGCGGCUUUCUAAGUCAGGGGUGAAAUCCUGGAGCUCAACUCCAGAACUGCCUUUGAUACUGGAGAGCUCGAGUCCGGAAGAGGUGGAGUGGAACUCCGAGUGUAGAGGUGAAAUUCGUAGAUAUUGGGAAGAACACCGGUGGCGAAGGCGGCUAUCUGGCCCGUAAUUGACGCUGAGGCGCGAAAGCGUGGG